GAGUUUGAUCGUGGCUCAGAUUGAACGCUGGCGGCAUGCCUUACACAUGCAAGUCGAACGGCAGCAUGAUCUAGCUUGCUAGAUUAAUGGCGAGUGGCGAACGGGUGAGUAAUACAUCGGAACGUGCCCUGUAGUGGGGGAUAACUAGUCGAAAGAUUAGCUAAUACCGCAUACGACCUGAGGGUGAAAGUGGGGGACCGCAAGGCCUCAUGCUAUAGGAGCGGCCGAUGUCUGAUUAGCUAGUUGGUGGGGUAAAGGCCCACCAAGGCGACGAUCAGUAGCUGGUCUGAGAGGACGAUCAGCCACACUGGGACUGAGACACGGCCCAGACUCCUACGGGAGGCAGCAGUGGGGAAUUUUGGACAAUGGGCGAAAGCCUGAUCCAGCAAUGCCGCGUGUGUGAAGAAGGCCUCGG
rnacentral:rRNA from 1 species